UACGUAGGGGCCUAGCGUUGUCCGGAUUUAUUGGGCGUAAAGAGCUCGUAGGCGGUUCGGCAAGUCGGAUGUGAAAUCUCCACGCUCAACGUGGAGGGGCCAUUCGAAACUGCCGUGACUCGAGUCCGGUAGGGGAGUGUGGAAUUCCCGGUGUAGCGGUGAAAUGCGCAGAUAUCGGGUGGAACACCGGUGGCGAAGGCGGAUCUCUGGGCCUUACCUGACGCUCAGGUGCGAAAGCUAGGGGAGCGAACAGG
rnacentral:rRNA from 1 species